AGAGUUUGAUCCUGGCUCAGAACGAACGCUGGCGGCAGGCCUAACACAUGCAAGUCUAACGCUCGUAGCAAUACGGGAGUGGCGCACGGGUGAGUAACGCGUGGGAACCUACCCUGGGGUAGGGGAUAACCGUGGGAAACUGCGGCUAAUACCCUAUAAGCCCUUAGGGGGAAAGAUUUAUUGCCCUGGGAUGGGCCCGCGUCGGAUUAGGUAGGUGGUGGGGUAACGGCCCACCAAUCCUACGAUCCGUAUCUGGUCUGAUAGGAUGAUCAGCCACACUGGGACUGAGACACGGCCCAUACUCCUACGGGAGGCAGCAGUGGGGAAUAUUGGACAAUGGGGGCAACCCUGAUCCAGCCAUGCCGCGUGAGUGAAGAAUGCCUUAGGGUUGUAAAGCUCUUUCCGCGGUGACGAUGAUGACGGUAACCGCAUAACAAGCCCCGGCUAACUCCGUGCCAGCAGCCGCGGUAAUACGGAGGGGGCAAGCGUUGUUCGGAAUUACUGGACGUAAAGGGCGCGUAGGCGGUUUUGCAAGUCAGAGGUGAAAGCCCUGGGCUCAACCCGGGAGGUGCCUUUGAAACUGCGGGACUAGAGUACGGGAGAGGAUGGCGGAAUUCCCAGUGUAGAGGUGAAAUUCGUAGAUAUUGGGAAGAACACCGGUGGCGAAGGCGGCCAUCUGGACCGUAACUGACGCUGAGGCGCGACAGCGUGGGGAGCAAACAGGAUUAGAUACCCUGGUAGUCCACGCCGUAAACGAUGAGUGCUUGGUGUAGCGGGUAUCGACCCCUGCUGUGCCGAAGUCAACACAUUAAGCACUCCGCCUGGGGAGUACGGUCGCAAGACUGAAACUCAAAGGAAUUGACGGGGGCCCGCACAAGCGGUGGAGCAUGUGGUUUAAUUCGAAGCAACGCGCAGAACCUUACCUGGGUUUGAACUUCUGUUGUAAGGCUCAGAGAUGAGUCCCCCUCUUCGGAGGCAACAGGAGAGGUGCUGUAUGGCUGUCGUUAGCUCGUGUCGUGAGAUGUUGGGUUAAGUCCCGCAACGAGCGCAACCCUUGUGCACAGUUACUAGCGGGUCAAGCCGAGGACUCUGUGGAGACUGCCGGUGAUAAACCGGAGGAAGGUGGGGAUGACGUCAAGUCCUCAUGGCCUUUAUGUCCAGGGUUACACACGUGUUACAAUGGACGGUACAGAGAGCUGCAAGACCGCAAGGUGGAGCUAAUCUCUAAAAGCCGUUCUCAGUUCGGAUUGCACUCUGCAACUUGAGUGCAUGAAGUUGGAAUCGCUAGUAAUCGCGGAUCAGCACGCCGCGGUGAAUACGUUUCCGGCCCUCGUACACACCGCCCGUCACAUCACGAAAGUCGGUUGCACUAGAAGUCGGUGGGCUAACCCGCAAGGGAGGCAGCCGCCUAAAGUGUGAUCGGUAAUUGGGGUGAAGUCGUAACAAGGUAACCGU
rnacentral:rRNA from 1 species